AGCAGGUUCAUGUGCUGUCAAGGAAACCUUGUUUCUGCAGAUGAAAGCUGAGACCUGAUUCCCUGGCAAUCAAACACAUUUAAUCCAGAAGUAUAGAGAAGUCUACUCUGUUAAGACAUCAAACACAAGAUAGUUUAUGCCUCCAAAGAGUUUAUGCCUUUACUUUAUGACCCUAGCAUCUUUGCCAACAAUACACACCGCUGGAACUUCGCAAGCUGUGGUUUAUGCUAAAGUGGACCAUUCUUCAAAAUGACUUCAUGCAGGAUUUAAAAAGUCUCCCCUUAAAUGGUAUUUGAAAUGCAGUUCUGUAAAAGAUGUGGAGGUGAAGAGGUUUGCACUCAGAAUAAAAGGACACAAAACCUUCAGCAA
rnacentral:lncRNA from 1 species